rfam:Asian citrus Psyllid, Diaphorina citri - Florida Strain, whole genome shotgun sequence.
GCAAGUGGCAAUAACAGGUUGAAUGUGCCAGUUCCCAAUGGAUCACUGAGGUUAAACACCUUUACAUGUGGUUGGUACCUGGGUGGGUGACCGUCUGCUCAAUCACCUGUUGCUUACU